rnacentral:lncRNA from 1 species
CAGAAAGACUCUUACUUGUACCACAGAUGAGCCUCAGAUUCAUGACAAUCUUCCUACCUCAUCCUCCUAGGUCAAGGGAUCAAAGGGCAGGAGCAAAGCAGAUGCAGUGGUCCUCAACCCCAAAGGAAUCUUCAACCAAAGAGAAACAAGAGUUGUCUGGCAGUAGAGACUUGUUCAGGAAAUCAGAAAUGACUCCAAUCAAGGCCUUGUCCAAAGCCAUCGAGGCGGGAUUGCUCAUCUGAUCGGAGUGAACCCGGAGCUGCAGAAUGCCACAUCUGCCCUCUGUGUGGGGACAGCCUGAGAAUGAAGUCAACAGAGCAGAAGGAAGCCAGAGGUGGCACUUGGCACCGGGGGCCAGCCAUGCCCGGCCCCUGUCUUGAGAGUUAAAUCCUUCCUUCAAGCUUGAACAAGGGGGAAUUGGGUUUCAUUCCUAGCAGACAAAGUGCCAACCAAAAUGAGGGUCCAUGGGCUCUCCAACUCAGUGCUCUGCCUGUGCGGUACUGUAGACACAUUCUAGGGUUGACAGGGACAUACAUGUCCCUUCAAACCUUGUCUGCCCCAGGGGCUAUGAGAGUGACUCAUACUUUCUUGCCUAUGAGUUUUAAAGAAAACAUAGAAGAUUGUGUUUUUAAUUUCUUUCUUUAAAAAAAAUGGAUUGCUAUGUUUAUUCUCGACCAUUUGAGAGGCUCCCCGUAGGUGCACAGCAUGGAGUCCCCAAUUUGAGGUGCUGCCAUAAGUGGCCUAAGAUGUCCUGUGUUUCCUCUGUUAAAGGCAGAAGCCAUUGCUGUUAAAGCUUCUGCUCUAAGCACUGUAUACCAGGGGACCCGCUUACACACCACAGGGGACACCUCAAGACGCUCUGGCCCUGAAUGAGGAGAUGGGUACCCUCACCUGACAAUAGAGAACACCAAAGCCUGACUGACUUACAUGACUUCCCAAGGCCACAGAUAUGGGUAAAGGAGCUGGCAUUCAAUUCCAGAUCAGGGAGGUGUGCUUUACCCACGGCACCUCUGCCCUUUCCUACUGACUCCUGUACAAAACUGUGAACACAGCUUCCUCCGGCAGCCCGCUGGCCAUCUGGCCACACACUGGAGGGCAGGGAUCUUGCUCAAAUUUGUACUUCCAGUGUGCUGAGAGGACCAGGGCUUCUGGAACUGGCUCCAGUUCACAAAGGUCCAUCUGGGCCUCUGCUUCUUAAAGAGGAAGCUGUAGGGGUUCUUGUGAUUAAGGGCUGUUGGCAGCUGUGCCUUAGGGGCCUGUGAAAGACAGAAGUGACUAUGACACUCAUCUCACUGGGACUGAAGGAGAAAGAGCAGGGCGGCCUUGUUCUCGGAGAUGGGCAGCCUUCGUUCUUCUCCUUGGGGACACAUAAAGGCCGGAAGAGGCAGGGGGAUUGUACUGCUGCCCACAGCAGAGGACAGUCUUCAUUUUCCUUACACCAACCACUAAGGACAGUUUCACUGAGUGUAGGCCAGUCAGGACCGAGGGUGUGUGCUCUUGAGCAGGUCUCUAUGGUAUGGAGAGCAUAAGCCAGCUCUGCCUUUUGUGAUGACUUUCCUCCUCUCACUCAGCUCUGCACAGCUUGCAAGAUUAUAGCUCAGAGUUCACAGAGAAGAGAGGACCCAGGAUGCUUCCAUACCAACUGCCACUGUUGGAGUCAGGAUGUCAUAUACACACACCACAUACAUAAGACACCCCAGCGCCACUGCAAGCCCUCAGAUUGCCCUCUGCUGGGCGGCUCAGAACGCUCUGUACCUGGCACUAGUCAUCCGGAUUGGGGGAGGAUAUAAGCUUCCAUUUCUACAGCUAAAAAUGGAAGCCAGUGUAUUUUUCUCAGAGCCCUUCCUGACGGGACAGAACGGCUGUAAACAACAAACAGCUUGGUUCAGUACUAAAGUAGGAGCACAAUGGCCUCUACUGUUAAUAUUCCUAACCUCAUCUGAACACAGGUUCCACCUGCUAAGAGCCAUCCAUGUUUUAAAACUUGAUUUAGAACUCACAGUUAUACAUGGAGAAGAGCCUUCUAGAAACACCUUAUGUAGUCAAGCUCCUUUAUUCCAGAGAGAGAGA